CUCUUAUCUAGAGUGGUCGAGGGACUGGCCCGAUGACGCCCGGCAACCGGCAGCAAUGCGGUGGUGCUAAUUCCAGCAGGAGAAUAUCCUGGAAGAUGAGAG
rnacentral:ncRNA from 2 species